rnacentral:rRNA from 1 species
AUUGAACGCUGGCGGCAGGCCUAACACAUGCGAGUCGAGCGGAUGAAGGGAGCUUGCUCCUGGAUUCAGCGGCGGACGGGUGAGUAAUGCCUAGGAAUCUGCCUGGUAGUGGGGGAUAACGUCCGGAAACGGGCGCUAAUACCGCAUACGUCCUGAGGGAGAAAGUGGGGGAUCUUCGGACCUCACGCUAUCAGAUGAGCCUAGGUCGGAUUAGCUAGUUGGUGGGGUAAAGGCCUACCAAGGCGACGAUCCGUAACUGGUCUGAGAGGAUGAUCAGUCACACUGGAACUGAGACACGGUCCAGACUCCUACGGGAGGCAGCAGUGGGGAAUAUUGGACAAUGGGCGAAAGCCUGAUCCAGCCAUGCCGCGUGUGUGAAGAAGGUCUUCGGAUUGUAAAGCACUUUAAGUUGGGAGGAAGGGCAGUAAGUUAAUACCUCGCUGUUUUGACGUUACCAACAGAAUGAGCACCGGCUAACUUCGUG